rnacentral:rRNA from 1 species
UACGGGGGGAGCAAGCGUUGUUCGGAUUUACUGGGCGUAAAGGGCGCGUAGGCGGUCAGUGCAAGUCAGUUGUGAAAUCUCCGGGCUUAGCUCGGAAAGGUCAACUGAUACUGCUCGACUAGAGUGCGGAAGGGGCAACUGGAAUUCUUGGUGUAGCGGUGAAAUGCGUAGAUAUCAAGAGGAACACCUGCGGCGAAGGCGGGUUGCUGGGCCGACACUGACGCUGAAGUGCGAAAGCCAGGGGAGCGAACGGG